rnacentral:rRNA from 1 species
GGACCUAAUAGAUAAUUCACC